AACGGCCAUACCAUGCUGAAUAUACCGGUUCUCGUUAGAUCACCAAAGUCGAGCAUCAUUGGGCGCGGUCAGUACUUGGGGGCACGCGGUGUCCCCACCUAGGAACACCGCGUGCCGUUG
rnacentral:rRNA from 1 species